CCUACGGGAGGCAGCAGUAGGGAAUUUUGCGCAAUGGGCGAAAGCCUGACGCAGCAACGCCGCGUGAUCGAGACGCCCUUCGGGGUGUAAAGAUCUGUCAGUGGGGACGAAACUUGACGGUACCCACAGAGGAAGCACCGGCUAACUCCGUGCCAGCAGCCGCGGUAAUACGGGGGGUGCAAGCGUUGUCCGGAAUCAUUGGGCGUAAAGAGUUCGUAGGCGGCACGUAAAGUCGGGUGUUAAAGGCAGAGGCUAAACUUCUGUACGGCACUGGAUACUUGAGAGCUAGAAUGCGGUAGAGGUAAGGGGAAUUCGUGGUGUAGCGGUGAUAUGCAUAGAUAACAGGGGGAACAUCGGUGGCGUAAGCGCUUUACUGGGGCGUAAUUGACGCUGGGGAAAGAAAGCCAGGGUAGCAAAUGGGAUUAGAUACGGCUAGUC
rnacentral:rRNA from 1 species